GACGAACGCUGGCGGCGUGCUUAACUCAUGCAAGUCGAACGGUAAGGCCCUUCGGGGUACACGAGUGGCGAACGGGUGAGUAACACGUGGGUGAUCUGCCCUGCACUUCGGGAUAAGCCUGGGAAACUGGGUCUAAUACCGGAUAGGACCACUGCCUGCAUGGGUGGUGGUGGAAAGCUUUUGCGGUGUGGGAUGGGCCCGCGGCCUAUCAGCUUGUUGGUGGGGUGAUGGCCUACCAAGGCGACGACGGGUAGCCGGCCUGAGAGGGUGACCGGCCACACUGGGACUGAGAUACGGCCCAGACUCCGACGGGAGGCAGCAGUGGGGAAUAUUGCACAAUGGGCGCAAGCCUGAUGCAGCGACGCCGCGUGAGGGAUGACGGCCUUCGGGUUGUAAACCUCUUUCAGCACCGACGAAGCGCAAGUGACGGUAGGUGCAGAAGAAGGACCGGCCAACUACGUGCCAGCCGCCGCAGUAA
rnacentral:rRNA from 1 species